rnacentral:rRNA from 2 species
GACUCUCGGCAACGGAUAUCUCGGCUCUCGCAUCGAUGAAGAACGUAGCGAAAUGCGAUACUUGGUGUGAAUUGCAGAAUCCCGUGAACCAUCGAGUCUUUGAACGCAAGUUGCGCCCGAAGCCUUCUGGCCGAGGGCACGUCUGCCUGGGUGUCACGCA